GCGUCACGUUGCCGAAGGCGCGAUGCGCCCCGGCGCUGGCGUCGUCGGGCGCCGCACCGCGUUCCACGCGCAGCCUCGCC
rnacentral:tRNA from 1 species